CCAUACUGCAGACGCAGUCAGUACACGUGGAAGUGGCUGUCACAGCUCCUGAUACAUCGAAAGUGUCUGGCUUAUGUUAUUUCCUACGAUAUCUGAGGCUCUUGGCAUUGGAAAAACUUCGUGGUCUCUGGUGAAUUUGACUUCAAUCAUCUGCCUUCAGGAUGGAAACCCAGGCCUUAGGAAGAGCCAAUCAGAGCAUUUCUUUCCCUGGAUAUGUUGACUGGGUCCGGAGCAAACAAUGAUCUAAGAUGGUCCUAUCAGAGCGAAUCUCAGGACUUUUGUUCAGAGGGCUGGGAUAAGGGCAUUCUUUAUCUCUCUUUUUUCAAGAUGAAAUAUGCAAGGUGAAGUAUGCAGAUAGCAGGCCCAGAAAUUCAGCAGCCGUUUUUGCACAAAGAGGGUGGCUUUGUCUGAGGACAAAGCUGACACAUGGAAGAGUCCAGAGGCCAGAGACUGCAGAGGAAUUUGCAGAGAUUUUCAGAGGACAUGCUGAACCUCUUGGUCAAACUGUACCCAUAGCAGAACUAUCACUGGCCUUUUCAGUUUGGUGAAAAAAUACAUUUUUUAAAUACUUAAGCCAGUGAGGGUCAGAUUUUAUGUUACUUAAAAUGGAAAACAUUCUAACUAUAUGAGUCAGCUUCUGCUGAAUAACAAAACACCCCCAAAUUCAGUGACUUAUUAAAAAUAAAUUUUAAAUUUAUUAAUAUAGCA
rnacentral:lncRNA from 1 species